CACUCUGCAACUGCCACUCUGCAACGGCUUCCCACACAAGCCCUUAUCAGAAUCAGGCCGCUGCACAAACCAAAUCAGGCCCGUGGGAUUUUAGAAUGCAGUGUCAUGGCCAGCUUGCCUGGUAAGCCUGCAGAUGAAGCUCACCAAACUGCAUGUUACUGCAAUACCACCUUAGACCAAACAUUCAAGGAGAGGCCAAAGACAGAAGUUGUUCUAGUGCAGACCACUUGACAGGACAAAGAGGUCAGUCAGCUGAGCCUAUGGGGGAUGGAGGAAGAAGCUGACUGUGUUGUACAACAGCAAGUGAGACUACGCAAGAGUGGCUGUUAUCAUCUCGUAAAUGCACAAGGUCAUUUUGUUUCCUUAGAUUUUAAUCUUUCUUUCUGGAGCAUGCCCUGUAUCCACUGAUAAAAUAUAUGACUUAUUGCUUCUGUACCAUCAUUUCUGUGGGGUUUGGCUUCUGCUACUAAACAGACACACCAUCUCAGUCUGGCCUUUGACUUUACACACUGAAAAUAAGAAUUUUCUGUGUACCGUGGGCAAACAUAGUUCAAGGAGAUACUGGGUGGGAAUUCUUUUCCCCCAGCUCUUUGGAGUUCAUUGAGACACAACUGAAGCAGCAUCAGAUUUAGGUUAUGGAAAGCAUUAAAUAGGUGGUUUGCUGGUUAGGGUUUUUGGUUUUUAUUUUAGUUUAUAUAAUGUGUGAUCAACUGGAGUAGGUUAGUGUGGAAGCUGCCAGAGACAGUGGGGGCCUGUAUACCCGAUCUUUCUAACAGCUGCUGGUGAGGUAAGGAUUCUAAGUGUUCUCAAGUUAUCUACAUAGAUGCCGUAAAUAGCAACUGAAGCUUUCAGAAACUCUCUGAAAGAACUGGUGUGUAAAAGCGAAGUGAGGUAUGAUGCAUAGUUGUGUGUAUGCUGACGGAGGGAUUACAAUAUAGAGAAAUCACUCAGCCUAAUGAUUACAUAUGGUUGGUUUCCAUUUACUACAACUCGCUGUGAUCUGGACCUUCCAAAAUCUGGUAAAAUGGCGUAAAUACUGUUCACACAGGAAAAAUACCAACGAGUGAACACCUAGACUCAUACAACAUUGUGAAAAUAUUUAAUAAGAAAUCGUUCCUAUAUAGGAACAUAUUGGGUAUGCAAGAACUUUGAGUAAGAAGUCUUUUUGAACAAAUAAGGUGACAGAUCACUAACUCAACCAUUAAAAUUAAAAAGAUGAUUUAGAAUUUAGAACAAAGUAUAUAAAACAAAAAAUAUGUUUAGAUAAUAAAUAUUCUAAAGUUGUGUGGCUAAUAACAUCUAGAGGUAUGGACUAGGCCUGGUGGCAAACAUGGUCCCAGCGUGCCUGAGACAAUCCAGAAGGACACGCGUCUAUGGCAUUUCAGUACAUAAAAUGUACGUAUACAUAUUUUGUAUGUGUAUAUGGUAAAUAUAUAUGUUAAAUGUUAAAUAUAUAUUUAUGUGGCACACACAUAAAUAUAUAUGCAUAUAUACAUAUACAAAUAUACAGGAUAAAUGCAUAUUGCAUUAUAUAUAGAGAUAUGUAUACACACAUAUGUGUGUAACUUAGUUUUUAGAAAUAGAAGAGAAAGUUCAAACAUAUUACAAUGUUCUUACCCCUCUCUCUUUAUAUAAUAAAACAUUUAUUAUAUAAAAAAUACUAAUAUUUUUAAAAUAUUGUUGCUUUGAAGAAAAAUGUAAAAGAUAUUUUUUUCAAAUAAGCCAAGAAUGUAAUAAGGAAAAGACAUGAUAAAAAUUACAACAAGCAAGUAAAAUUAUGACAAAAAACAUCAUUUUAUUGUAGAGAGAAAGUUGAUGAUGCAGAAAAUUUGAAUUAGUGUGUUGGUGACAAACUGUGGGGAAUACAGAGAAUAACAAAACUAUUAAAGGUGAGACAGAGUUAGGGAGAACAGUGGACCAGCUGCAAGGUAUAAAUAGUAGAUAAACUCAGCCUUACGUAAGCUAAGGCAAUGACUAGUUAGCAUACUAAUACCAAAACACACAUUAGGAACAUGUUUCUCUCUCUCUCUCUCUCUCUCUCUCUAUCUAUCUAUCUCUCUCUCUCUCCCUCUCUCUCUCUCUCUCCAUAUAUAUAUAUAUAUCUGAUAGUGAAGAUGAAAGAAAACAACUAAAAUCAAUGCUAAGUUUAUUUAUUUUCAAACAGUACAAGUAUAGCAUUAUCUUUGUACCAUUAAGUCCAUCUUUCUUUGUCUAAAAUGACCCAAAUAUAAGGCUGCAAGCAAAACAAAAACAAAAGAAUGAAAAAUGAAAGCUAGAGUAAUAUUAAGACAGGCUAUUAUCUUAAGUUAAUAUAAAAUGUGUGUGUAAUGUUGACUGAAACAUCUCAGACCCACUGGAAAAGCACAUUAUAAGAUGCCAUGUCCUCACACAAGAUCAAAAUAUGUUCUGUCAGCAUCAGAGAUACAUUGUUAAACAUCAUGAGGAACACAACUUUGCUCAGAGAAUACCUUUUAGGGAAGACUAAAACUUGCCAAACACAAAAUGGGAAACUAAAAGUCAGGUGUAAAUCCUACUAGAGUUAAAGUAAUAGAUUAUUGGACAACAAAUACAAGGGGAUAAUCUCAUUUUAAUAUGAUUAAUAAGGAUGAGUUAAAUUCAUAGAACAGUUGACUUGGGAAGAAAAUUAACUCCCAAACCUCUUUUUUCCCUGACAGAGAAAUGGUAUGUGCUAGACAUGGUGGUACACACCAGCAAUGGCAGACUUAGGGGAAUGAGGGCGAAAAAAUUAGAGUUCGGGAUCAUCAUGAGCUAGAGAGAUGCCAUACAAGUAUUAACUUAAGUUCAGCUCCAAAAUCCCAGCACCCUAGAGGUAAUGGAUGUGAAUCUCUGCAAGUCUGAGUCUUGCCUGGACUACACAGUGAGUUCCAGGACACCAAGUGCUACAUACUGAAAAUGAGAGAAAAGGGGAGAGGCUGGGAAGAGAGAAAAGAGAAAAGAGCUAGGUGUCUGAUACACUUGCAAUCCCAGCAUUCCCUCUCUGCAGAGGUGGAAAAAAGAAAAUUCUUGCAUUUCAUUGGCCAAUGAGCCAUGAAUGUGAGCUCAGGGGAAAUAAGAAAUCUUAUCUAAAAAUGUGCAUGUUUCCUGAGAAAUAACACCUACACUAUCCUUUGAUCUCCAUGCUCAUAUAUUCACAUACAUGUAUUCUCACACACAUCCAUACAAAACAAAAUUUAAAGGCAAAAUUGAGGUUGAACCUUUGAAAAGCAAAUGAGAAUAGCACUUUAUGAAGAUAAAUAAUGAAAGUUUAAAAUUGAAAUGAAAACAAAAGUUAAUCUUUCAUUAGAUAAAUGUUUUAAAUGAUGUAGCUGUCCCCAAAUGGGUAAGAAUUCAUUGCUAAACCAAAAAAAGAAAAAGAAAAGAAAAGAAAAAUGAAAUAUAAGAUGACAGAUAAUAUUAGUGUCAAAUAGUACCUUUACAUAAUGACUAAGCAAAUGAAAACUUGGUAUCUUGAUAUAAAAAUCAUUAACAAUGCUAUUGACUAACUAUGCUAACAAAUUAUUAUCACAAGGAUCAAUGGGAAAAGAAAUAAAGAAAACAUUGGUCUCUGUAUGCAAAGCCCACUCCUGCUACGCUACAUGCUCUUUAUCAUUCCAUUUGUUCUAAAUAAGUUCUUACAGGGAUUCAUGAAAUAUUUAUAAACACUGACCACAUAUUAGCAAUUACAAACCUCAAGGGUCCUUAAAGAGAAAUUUUAACAACUAUAUGUUUUAAUUAAAAAUGAUGUACAAUUUUAAAGAACUUAAAUUCUUUUCUUAAAAAACACUUUCUGGUUUUAGCAAAUUAGGGUUUCAAAUUUUUAGCUUCUUCUCGUGUUCUGACUUCACAGAACUUAGGAGAGGCAGAGAACUGAGCAGGGAGAACUCAGGCCUGAGGCCUGAGAGACCCUGAAGCCAAAUGAUGAACUGCAACUGGCACAUCAUCCCAGCCAUGAGGCCCUUCACUCAGAGCAGCAGAUCUGCAGGCAUGAAACCCGUGGAUUUGGGGAGAUCUAAAAGCUGAUACUUCUUUGAACUGUUGACAACUUUGGGCAUUUGAUAGAGAAAACAGUGAAACAAACAAAACACCCUGUUCAGAGAAAAAGAGUAAACACAGACUUUUUUCCCAAGGUGUGCACAUUAUCUAUAAUUUAUUUAAUUACACUCAUGUGAGUAGGCAUUUACAUUGAUUUUAAUAUACACAGUUUGAAAUGAUAGGACCGAUUUUCUAAUAUCUAUUAUUUCCAUACACCUUAAAACUUCUCUAUAGAAAAUAUUUUAUUCUUUUCCCAAACACUACAUCCUGACCUCAGUUUACCCUUCCUUUACUUUUCCCAGAUCUAAUCCUUCUCCACUUGCCAAAAAAAAAAAAAAAAAAAAA